UUUUUUUUUUUUUUUUUUUUUUGGGUAAUAACAGGCCCGUGCCAAAAACAAUCAUGGCUUCAGUUGAUACUUCAGGGCCAGAAUCACUAAUUGGGCCAUUAUGUUGGGUCUGCCGAGAAAUAAAUAAUCUUGUCCUUAAAAAACCGAAAAAGAAAAAAAAAAUAUUAACCUUUCCCCAAGGCAAGUGGUUAAUGUAUUACAUUUUUUAAGACUUUUUAUUUAUUUAUUUUAAUUUUGGUUACCAAUUGGGACUAGUUUAGGGAUUGGGAUUCUACAAUCGGCAGAUGAAUUGCAGCAUGCAAUUCAUGGACCAGAUGGAUUCAAUUAUAAGAUAUUUGCCAAAAAAUUUUUUUUUUAAUGUAAGACAUAUUGCAAAAAACUUAAAAAUCUUUACCAUGAAAAUUGACCAAUUAAGGCAGUGUGAUGAACACUAGCAUAAAAUGUUACAAAAUAUAACAGGGUUCCUUAAGUCCAAAAUCAAUAUUUUCCUAAGUUUCUGGUCUUUUUUUUUUUUUUUUUAAAAAAGAGGUACUUCAACAUGUCAAAAAUGAAAAGAUUUUUUUUGUGGCUUUCCAAAUUUGUAUUUGCGAAUCAAAUCAAAUUUAGCAACGUCUCUUUUAACUUCUUGCACAAAGGUCUUUGAACUUCUUAUCCAAAGGUCAACUUUUAAGGUACAUAAUAAUUUUGUACCUUUUUUAGUUCCCAAUCCAAUAAUAUAUAUUCCCAUCCAGGCUCGGAUUUACUAAUUAACAAAUUUUGCCAGAAAAGCAUUAAUAGAAUGGGCUUGUUGAAUUAGUUGCAAUAGUUCAUGGGCUAAUUAAGAUGAAAAAAAGUUUAAUGGUCCGGAAGAGAAUUUGGAAUAGUUUGAUGGGCUACUAUGCACUUUACCCAAAUAAUUUGAUACCCGUUUCAUUUCAUGGGCUAAAACUCUAUCCCAAACUUUGAGGUUCUUGGAACAAGAAAAACAUGUCACACGUGACCAAAAAAUGGGGUAUUACUAUGUUGGUAUAGACUAUGCACAAUUUUAUGAUGUAAUAAUUAGGUACAAAUUACAUUGGAUUGAGAAAAAAUUGGAGGGUCAAUUAAAUAACAAGAAUAGGAUUCAAGAAUACAAGUGUUCCAAUCCCAAUUGUGGGAAAAUGUAUACUGCCCUCAAUGCUCAAGAAUUGGCUUCUUUGGCACUAGAUGAUGAGUGUUUUCGUUGCGAGUUUUGCAAUGGGGAAGUUGUGGAGGAUAUGGCUGACGAAGAAAGGUUGAAAUUUUGCAAGAAAAAUGAGAUGUUGUAGAAGAGGAGGCAUGACCAAAAUUUGGCCCAAAAAAAAAAUGUAAGGUUCAGAUUUCAUUUUAUACAUCAUUUUUUCACAUCAUAUGUGAGGCGGGGCCUAUAAAAAUUUAUUUUAUAAUUACAUAUUGUUGAAAGUAAGUUAUAUCGUGUGCAUUUUACACAAAUCUGCUCCGAACAAUUUCUUGGGGCCCUUGUCCGAAAGAAGAUGGAGCUGCAGCUUUGGCCCAUGAUUGAUCAAGUGAAUACAGUAAAGGAUUUACCUGCUCCCGAAUUUGGAAGUCUACAAGAAUGACAAGGUGGAAAAAUGUUUGCGGGGUAGACAAAGAUUGAAGUGACUUUCUCUGGAAAUUCUACAUCAUCAAAAGAUGAUGAUUGGGUAGAUUGGGGGGAAGGUUGAAGGAUUGGUGCUUCAUCAUGUCUUAUUAAUAAUUGAGACUAGUAGUUCAUUUAUUAAUUGACUUUUCCAGCUGUUGUACUAUUCUGCUGGUGGAUUAUAGAAACUUGUACAAUGAAUUCAUGAGUUGAGUAGUUAAACUUGAACAAGUUUUUUUUGUUAUAUGGCCAUUGGUACCAAAGAGAAGACUUGUGAUGUAAGUCCUGACAGAAAUUCAAUUGACUGCUAGAUGGAUUUGAGAAAAAAGAGCAAGAAAUUUUAAAAUAUCCAUUUGCCUUAUGAUUUGAUGAAUAAUGGGAAAGAAAAGAAAGGACAAAAAAAAAAAAAAAAAAAAUUGAAGUGCAAAACUUCAACUGGAUAGUGCAAACAAAAGAAAUAAGACUUCAUAAUGCAACUCCAGAACAAAACAGUAGCACUGCAAUGAGCCAUACGCAAUCUGCAGGCACCUAUCAAGUAAAAAAAAACCAGACCAACAAGCACCAAACCCCAAAAGAAGGGGAAAAAAUAAAAAAAACCAGACUAACAAGCUCAAGUUCUUGAAUGUUUUAACAGAAAGCAGAAGUUACAUGCACAAACAAGCAAACAAGAUUAUUUCCCAGGUUCUCUUGAAGAAAUUGCCACUGGACAUUCUCUAGCUAGACAUCAUGGACUGGUUGCAGAUCUUGUAUUCCAAUACUCCUCAAUUUCCUUUGCAGUUCUUCCAGGGAUUCUUCCAGCAAUUAAAGACCACCUAAAAGAUUAUGCCAUUUGUUGCUUUGGGUCAACAAGUUGCAGUUCAAACUUCAAAAAAUUUAAGUAUGCAAGACAUAAGAAAAUUUUCACCACAAAAAGAAAGAAGAAAAAGGAAUUAAUUAAUACCUUUUACCAACCAAGUUGAACAUCCUAAUGAUGAGAAUUUCCUCAUCUUCAGAGAAAUGAAGCUCAGAGUCUUGACUUUUAUCCUCUAGUGCAAAAACAACAUAAUGAAAUCGAUAAACAGGUUAUUAAACUUAAAAUCUACACAGGUCUCAUGAUGUUACCUUGAGAGCCGGCAGAUUUUUCAUUCAAAGUUGUGGAUUGAUCCGAGUCAGCCAUAAGAGAUGGAAGAAAUGUUAUAGAAAUUCAAGAAAUUGCUGACAAGUAUAUAGGAGUGAAAUAUGGAGAGAGGUGAAGUGGGGAAGGGAGGAUUCUUUUAAGUCGUAUUAAUAGGAAACAGAAGAGUCCCCAGUUAAGGUCUUGAUUGCCAUGAUGUUUGAACUAGACUGGGAGGUGAAGAAAAGCAAAUCAGGAAGAAUGGUAGUUGACACUAGUACGGCUGCAUAAAGUAUAGGGUGCUCUUUGAUUGGUAGUUCUUUUUUUCCGGUCACGAUAGAAUUUAUUCUAAAUCUACUCUACUCUUACUCUAUACUAGGCGGAGGGGGCUAAACCUACUCUUACCAUACUUGGGGGAAUUUAUUCUAAAUCUACUCUACUCUUACUCUAUACUAGGCGGAGGGGACUAAACCUACUCUUACCAUACUUGGGAGAGGGGAGACAUAAAGAGGUUCAAAAGAAAUUUGGAGGGGACUAAAUUACUACUGACUUUGAACCUGGAGGGGACUAAAUUAUCACUGAUUUAAACAGGCGUCUAUGCAUUACCUGAUAAAUUUUUUAGGACAACUUGAAUUUUUUAGAAUGCGGACCAAGGGAUUUGAUUCCUUUUAACUUAUAUCUAUUAAAACUCUCUUGAUGGUGCUCUUUGAUCGGUAGUUGGCACACUAAAUUGUUGGUUGGCAAAAGGACUUAUACUUUAAAGUUUUUUCCUGCGGCUUUUUUUUUUGUCAAACGUCCUUUGGCAUUUGUCAUUUGGGAAAUAGACAAUUGAUGGAGUUUUCAUUUUUUUAAAUCUUAUAUCCCCUGUUUACUGAAAAGGCUCUUUUUUUUAAAAAAAUGUAGGUGAGAGGUUUGAACCCAAAACUUUCAACUUACACACCUUUUUCUAAUACUUUGCAAUUUAUCCCUUCCUCUUGUACUGAAGAGACUUAAUUAUUAGUUAUACAAUAUUUUUUUGCAUUCAACGAGGGAAUCCAAACCUUAUAAAGGCGAAUGACAAGGGAGGACAAGGAGUUUGAUAGUUGAAUUUUAGAUCUCACAAUCACCUCUCUAAUCUCCCUACUAACUAAAUUGAGUUUUAGGAGCUCCUCUACUCAAUUCAUUUGAUAAAUAGUUGUAAACGUUCACGUGUACAUUUAUAUAUGGAAACUGCACAAUCGUUUAUAAAGAUGUGUUCAUAAACUAAAACAAGAUGUGUGUAUUUUUCAUUUCAAUUUUUUUGUGUAUGCAUGUUAUUUUUUUUUCAAAUUAACUUCUCCAUAUCCAAUAUUGACCGUCACUCUUUUUGAACCAUUAAUCGGUUUUGCCCCUAAUCCUUAAUAUUUUACUAUUAUAAUCCUUACAAUUAGAAUAUAAGGCCCCGUUUGCAAGUGAGUUUUGUGAGUGUUUGUUUAAAAUUUUAUUGUAGAAGUUGUAGAAAAAAUUUUUAAAUGUACAAAUUUUUGGAUAUUUUGAAAUGUGUAAUUUAAAAAUUUGAAAUUUUUUUUAAAAAUUACUGUAAUUAAAAUUAUUAAAAAACUUAUAACAGAUAAACUUGGUCAAAAACUUGCUUGCCAAAUAAGGCCUAAGUUUCGUAAGAGUGAAGGAGGCAGACAGCUAAAAGAUAAGAUCAAGCCACUUCGUACCCACAUCCACCUACUUUUUAUAGGUGUGAACAACUUCUCCAUAACAUAAUAAACAGCUUAAUAAAAACUUUUUGAAUCCCUCCAAAGAAAUUCUUCAUAAAAUAUAGGGGUUUGUCACCCCUAUCGAUAGCAUAUAUUCACUGAAUUAUGAAAAAGGUAACAGAGCCGUAAUAGAGGUGGAAAUGAGUCUAAUUAACUUAGACACCUUAUCGUUCAAGUUUGUUUGGUUAUUUUAAUGAGUUUGAAAAUUUUGUUCAAAUUUAACUUGUUUAUUUAUCGAGUCGAAUUUGAACAAAUUUUUUAUCGAGUUUAAAAAUUAUCAAGUAUAAAAUGCUGUUUAAAUUUGAUUUAACUAGUUAGCGAAUCAAAAUCGAACGAAUUCUUAUUAAGUCGAGUUUGAUCCGAGUAUUGAAUAGUUUUAUUCAUCUUUCAACCUCUACACCGCACAGUCCAACGCGAUAAUGGGUCAUAGCUUCUGGAUAAGACAAUAAUAUCAAAACCGCUGGAUAAGACAAUUAUAUCAAAGUGGCACACCCUAACUAUAGUAAAUCUCUCUUUAUUGAUAUUAUGACAAAAAGAUUACUCAGUAGGAAGUGUCAAUGAUGGCUUAGUUAGGUAAAUGAGUAAAUAUCAAACUCUCUCCUAGACUAUUGUUGAAUUGCAAUGUUUUGAUUGCUUUUUUUUUUUUUUUUUUUCAUUCAGAUUAUUAUAUAGUAAAUAGAUAGAUUUUUAGGAAAGAUGAAUAUAGGAGAACAUUAAGGGCUGUGAUUCUAUCUUUUUCGCUCUCUGUUUUUUUUUUUUUUACUUUCCAAUAAAAGGUUUUGUUUUAUGUAUUCUCAUUGUCUUUUGGUUUUGUUUUAAGUCAUGUAAGAUAAAAAUUGAUUAUGAGAAACAAUUAUCUGCUCUUGGGAAUCACUUCUGACUUCUCAAUACUUUUUCAAGAAUAUUAUUACUCACAAAUCUGAAAACUUGAAUGAAAAGGGAACUAGCUAAGUCAUCAAUGCUAGUUUUCUGAUCAUAUUAUCACUAGUUAACCCCUGAUUAUCCCCAAAAAUAACUAAUUCUGGAAUUAAGAAAAGCUUUGGGCAUAUUGACAUUUACCUUUUUUAUGGCCGAUACUUCAUUAGAAAUAAUGUGUUUUAAUGAGGCAAUGAUGCACUUUUUUUUUUAAAAAAACUGUCUCAUAUUAGCAAGUUCCUAAAAUAGCUGAUGACGCUGUUAUUUGUUUCUUUAAUUCUUAAUGAAUAACUAGAAAAUAGGAUAUCAUGAGCUUAAUACCUUUAUUAUUGAAGGUCAGAGCAGUAAAGUUAGUGUGACUAUUCCAAAGCAAAGAGGGUAAACUGUGAUUAACCUUUAUUUUUAGAGACAUCCAUUAAUUCUAGAAGAUUUUUUUGUACAAAGCUUGCAAGGUUAAAGCGACCACUUAAUUAUACGGAAAUGUUUUUUUGCACUUUUAUUUUUUAUUAAUCACACUCUCACUGUCAUUUUUAUAAUAUAGUUUUCAUUUAUUGGACUAUAUAAUAAAACAAAUGGUGAGAAUGCAAUUUAAAAAAAUGGAGUGCAAAUAACAUAUCCCUAAUUAUAUGCAACAUAUGUUAACAAAAAAAAAAAACAAUUCACAACAUUGUCAUCAAUGCAUACUAAUUUGAAAAUAAUAAACUCAGUAUGCUAAUUUUUCUUUUCUUUCUUUUCCCUAGCUGUCCUUUUCAAAAGCUUGUAGCGAAGAGUUUUACUAUCAACAGUGCCUCUAAUGUGCCAAUUGGCAGACUGCAAAACUUUUUUGGCUUUAAGUUGUCGGCAGGAACAUUGAGCACUAAAUAAAAAGUGUAAAGGAGGAAAAAGAAAAGAAAAAACAACAAGAAGGAUUUUAAAAUAGCAAUUAUUUGAGUUUCAAAUUAUGAUUGAUUUAUGAAGAGAACUGCACAUAAAACUUAGAGAAUGAGUGUGUUUGGAUUGUAAAUUAUUUGAGAUAAUUUUGUGAAAAACUACUGUAGCACUUUUUUGAUGUGAUGUAUUUGAGAUAAAAAAAUAAUUGAAAAAUGUGUUGAUGAUGCAAGCAAGUCAGUGCGUGUAAAUAAGGUGUAAAUAAUGUGCAUGACAAAAUUCUUCCAGGAAGGUUAACCUGCAGGAGAAGUAAGUAAAAAGUUCAUUUGAUAGGGUAGGUUGUUGAUGUUAACCUCAUUUAAGAAGCCAAAAUUUUUUUGUGUAAAUUCAAGCAGGAGAAAAUUUUCUCUUUCAAAAUCUUUCUAAUUGGCCUCUCUUGAUAGCCACAUAAUUGUAGGUAACUUUGUCUUUUAUCCGUCAAAACAAAAGGCCAAGCGUCUUCCUGAAACUCCCCAUGCGUGCAAAGCUCCAAGCGUCUUUUUUAGGUGCCAAACCGAGCAGUCUAUUUCAUUAGACCAAACAAAUUAACACGAGAAUGAAAAGGACAAAUGCAGCAAAAUUGGUUGGAAAUAUGUUAGCUAGCUAGUCAGCAUGGUAUUGUCACAAGUAGCAACUCAAGCUGAGAGCAAUUAUUGCGAUGGACAAAUUCCACUUUGCACCCCUAAACUUGUAUCACUUUCUUGCUUUGCACUCUAAAUUUUAAUUUUGGAUACUUUAAACUCUCAAAUUUAUCCUAUUUAAGUCUAAUCAAUAAUAAGUUUUGCAAAAUUAACAGCAUAGAGGAUAAAAAAAUCAAUAAUAAUGUGCUGAAAGAAAUUAAAAGAUGCCAAGGUAUCAUAGGAAAAAAUAAAAUAAGACAUUAUCAUUAAUUUUCACUAUCUUUUAUUUCGUCAGUUUUGCUAACAAUAUUAUUGAGAUUAUAUACAUAAAUGAUUAUAUGCUAAAAAUGGUUAAAAAAUCUAAGGGAUCUAGUUGGAAGAAAACGGGACAUUAUCAUUAAUUUUGAUACCUUUUAUCUCGUUAAUUUUGAGAACAUAAUCAUUGAUUGGAUUUAAAUGGGACAAACUUUAGAGCUUAGCCUGUAAAUUGUUCAAAUUAAAAGUUGAGGUUGCAAAGUGUCAAAAAAUGAAGUUUAGGAUACAAAGUGAGAAAGUGAUACAAGUCCAAAGAUGCAACGUCGCGGAGUUAAUCCUAUUGCGAAAAUGAAAAAUUAUCCCUUUCAAGUCUACUAUCAGUCUUGACUUGAAAAAGGUAAAUUUGGCAAUGUUUUUUGAAAAUUCUAUGUGGCAUUGAAAUUUAGGAUCUGGUAUUAACAUUAGUCUGUUAGCAUAGAUUUGGACCAAAAUGCUAUUUGAUGAUAUCUAAAUAGUUACAUUUUUUUUUUGGCACUUAUAAUGUAUGUCUCUAGCAUCUUUUGUUUUGCCUAUUAUGCUUCGCGAAGUCUAAAACUUUUCAGUGUAAAGCUUUCAUAUUAAAAUUGGGUGCUGUAUUUCUUAAUGAGAGGUAAUUUGAAUAACACUCUGUUUGGAGCUUGUCAUUCUCUAAUUGCUUCCUUAUUAAAAUAUGAUUAUUGAAGUUUUUCAUCCUGUGAUAAAUGGCUUUCUGGAAUGCUUUUUAUUGGUGUUAGGAAAUUCACAGUGAAAAAGGAAUUCCAAAAAGUGGUUGAAUUUUUAGAAUGGAGAAAGUUGAGUUUUUUCGUAGAAGUGAUUUCUUAAUAAAUGAUCUAUUCAAAAAGGUAAAAAGUGAUUUCUUGGAUUAGAUUGUCAAUAAAUUGGUUAAUUAAAAAUCUAUUUUCUAAAAUUUUUUAAUGAUGUUUAAAAAAAAUCCAUUCAAAAAGGCAAAGGUGAUUUCUGGGAUUCCCUUAGUGAUGUUUUCUGUUUUUUAUGAUGUUUUAAGGGUUAGUUUGGUGACUUUUUUUUAGUGUUGUUUUAAAAAUCUGUUUUCUAUUGUUUAUUGUCUUGUUUUGGCAUGUUACUCCAUUAGUGUGUAUGUAUAUUGUUUUAGACAGUAUUUGUGUUGCAUGGACCAAUUACUAGUACUGAUAAUUGAAAAAGUCCUUCCAAAAACUUGUACUGUAACAUUAUCCAUGCCACCAAAUGUCCAAAAAAGAGCGCUUACCAAAAUAAUUGAAGUGGUUCAGACUUUGAAACUCUUAUGGAGAAAGGACCAAGAUUUCAAACUAUUGAACGUACAUCAAUAUUUUGAGGAGUUCUUGGGAAAAAAUUAUUGUAGUAAUUUUUUUUUUUUGAAUGAGAUAACAAGAUGAUCUUUUUUAGAAUAUGAUAUAUAUGAAAUAAAAAGGUGAUUGAAAAUUAUAUAAAAAGAAAAUUCACGAAAAACAUAAAAGCUUUUUUUCAAAAAUCACAAUCCAAACAAGGCCUCAGGUUAAAGCUCAUCCCAUGAAUAGGGUGACUUAACAAGCUAGUGUGGGGGUAGGAAUGGCGUAAAAAGUUUUCAACAAGUUGGAAUGCAUCCCAAAUAACUUGUUCAAUAUUGUAACAAAAACGUAAAAGUCCAAUGUUUUUCAUUUUGAAAAGUACAUUUCAGUUGUGUCACAAGUAAGUGGCAUUAUUUUAGCCAUCUAUUAUGAAUGUUUGCCUUGUUAGUAAAAUUUGGUACUUUGUAACAUCGAUGGACGGUUGUCAGUGGUGAAUUGGUUAAAAGCAAUGGAAAGAUAGGUGACAGUUACAAAGUACCAAAUUUUUGUCUUUCAAGUGGAUUUAGACAAUAAUUAAGAACAAACAUACUUCUCUCUUAUGGCUCAAGUCUUCACUUUCAUUCUUGGAUUUCAAGUUCAAUCUUUUCAACUGGGGCAGGUGGUGGAAAAGGAAUGGGUGCUGCUUGGAUUUCAAGUUCAAUCUUUUCUAGUGGGGCAGGUGGUGGAAAAAUAAUGGGUGCCGGAAGAAUGGCAAUAAGCACUGGUGGAACAGUGAUGAAUACCAUUGCACAUAAAAGAUGGUAGCCACAAAAGGAAACCUAAUCCUUUAACCAAUGAAACAGAGUAAAUUGCACGGCUAAAUGUAGUUGCCAAGCUUGUUUAAAAACACACCUAUAGCAUCACAGUUUUGCAUAAUAGAACAUACUAUAACGUUCAGAAGGGGUACUGCAGUAACCGAUGCAAGUCAGAGGUCUGAAGCUAGACAAGAUUCAUCUGCUGUUGCUCAAAAGCCAUGAAUCUUGAUGUUCUCCUUCUUCACAAUACC
rnacentral:lncRNA from 1 species